CACAAAAGGUGGGGCUUCUAAGCUUGACUGUAAAAUUUUCGUCACUCACAGGAAGUCCCGCCGUUCUUCUUAAAAUCAAUUGGCUGUUGCGCGUACGCUCGUGAAAUGUCAUUAGUCCAGUCACGCGACAAUCACUUUAUCAGUCUACUGUUUCCUGUUUGCAUUCUUGCAGGAAGGGAAUCGCAUUCAGCCGUUCAAUAUAUGCUAGCUAUCUUAGUUAGCGAGGUAACAAACUGCAUGGCAAAGACCUUUUAAUGUCCUAGGAAAUGGCCAGUGUUGUUGUCGAAUUCCGGGGUAUCUGCCAGCUAGAGUAGAUUUUCGCCUGAUCGAUUGCAUACAUUUUCAAUUAAAACAAUGCACAGACAGAAGUAACAGACUCGAAACGUGAGGUUGGUAACAUUAGCCAUUUAGCCUGACGGUAAAUGGCUCGUCGAGCAGCCGAUUGUGUAGAAAGGAUAGCCUAUGUGGCGUGUUGGAAACUUUGUGUGUUGGCGCUCUGUGAUGGGCUGUUGUGUUUGUCCCCUAGGCUAGGUAAACAUAUCAACUUCAUUUCAAUGUCAUUUCUCAGACGUUUGUAAGACCCCAGCGUCUCAGAAAAAAAGAGGCAUGCUGGUAGUUUUAGAUAAAGCAAGUUCGCAACCCUUUUUUCUUCAAGUUUUGCACUUUAUUUCAGUAAGAAGGGCUAACGUCAUUAUUGGACCUAACGUUACUGUUUUGCACGAAGUAACUGCGUUAGAAAAUGUGUAUUAAAUAAAGCAUAAUAUUGACAUCACCCCAAAAUGUUGCCUCUAGGUUGUUGUCUUUAACAAAUUCCUAGUGAGGUAUAGGCAGAUACAGUAAGUCUACACCCGGACAGCCAUGAUUGAGCUGAAAUUUUUGACCACAAAAUGUUAAGUGCUGAGUCUCCCUGAUUCUACAAAGUAUCCUGAAAGCUGUCAAGUCCUACCUGAGUGAGACCGAAGUGGUGCAUUUUCUUCCAGCCUUCAAUUCAAACUUAGGCCAUUACAGCCAGACUACAAAAGCACUUUCCUGGUACUCGAGGGCUCGUGUCAGUGGAAAGUGGAUAUUUCCAAUCACUCUGCUGUCAAUCCAAGUGUCAGGUAAACACAGACCUGCAGGGACAGUCUUUAGAAAUCGUGUGCAGCUGCACUCAAUGCUCUCACUACAGCAUAAGAAAUUACUUCUCUCCAGUUGGCUAACCUCACAAAGAGUCAAGCUUUAAUGGGGAAGUCAAAUGUCUUCCAUUAUUGUCUAAAAUCUUGUAUCGAUUGAAACGCCUUGAGACCAUCAAACAUAAUUUCUGACCUUUUUGUCUUUGAUAGACGUUUUGCCAUGGAUAUGAAACCACAGUUCUGCUGGUGUGGUCUGAUCUGAGGAAAAGGUGACUGCAUGUGGUGAGACAGCCCUGUUGGAGACACCUGGUGGAACAAUAUAAAUGGAAGCACGGGGGGAAGCUUCAAAAAUGCUGCAGCAGGGAGACAUGUGGGUAGAAUAUCAAAUGUGUCUCAAUGACAACCAAGGAAACGGCUGAGGGUGAAUUUGGAGAUAUAUUCCGUCAUCAGUUCUGGGCGCCUACUCCUGGGGAGAAUACAAUCUUCUUUACAACACCGCAAUGACGGCUGUAUCAUUUCAGCCACAUAACCAUCCCAGAGACACACACCAGCCCACAAGAGACAGGAGAGGAAAACUAUGUCUGAAAUCAUUAUAUUGUGCAUAUUAUAAGUUGCAUAUUAUAGUUAUCAUUAUAAUAGAUGAGAACAGAAUGCAGACACACACAAAAUGGAGACAAAACUAAUAGACAAAAACACGG